GAUAAAGUGAUGAUCAUGCUUUAUAAUGGUAGUGUAUGAAUUGUUUGGGGGUAAUUACAGAGCCUUUGUAGCUUACUUUACUUCUGAUGAAGUCUCUGUUUUAAUGAAGCCUAAUUUUAAUGGCCAAAAUUAUGAGUGAGUGUGUUUAAUCCCCAAACUUAUCACAGAGGAUGGUACAGUGUUAAAAAAGGGGCAUAACCAAAUAACGCAGUGCAGACAAUUUUUGAUGUCAGAUUGUAUGGCCAAAACAAGGUAUCUUUUCUGGCAUAAGCUGAAACUAAAUCUGCCACUGAACAAAAUAUAAAAAAAUAUCUUAGUCUGAUGAUGGUCUGUUGAACAUUCUAGGAAUUGUGGGUAAAAAUGUGCAGGUAUAAGAUAUGGGACGACACAACAGGAAUUUUAUUGGUGAAUCGUGAUAAUUGAGUUUUACUUUGGAUUUGAUAUGUCUGAUUUAUAUUGUUUGAAAUCAAUAAAACAAAUAAUUACAAUAGUUGACAAUGUGUAUCUAUCUAUCAAACCCUAAUCCACGGCUCAAUCCACGGCUAUAUAGAUAGAAAUGUUAAGUGUUUUCCCGUCUGUUUGUGAGAGAAGUGAUACAUUUCUUAGGUUGACACAUGUUUGACUGCAAGCUGCCCCGUUACAUAAAAUUGAGAAUGGAAAAGGGGAAUGUGUCAAAGAGACAACAACCCGUUACAUGAAUGUUUAUUGAAAAGAAGGAAAAGGUUACAACUCAAAAAGGAAAAGAAGAAAUUUUACAGCUGUUACAGGAAUCUCUCCCUCCUCAAAUUAUAAAUAACAAGCCCCUUUGAUUGAAAAGACCAAGAUCAAAUGAACACUAUUAAAUAUGGGACAGUCAUUAGAUUUAAGAAGGGGGAGGGGGGGGGAGGUACGAGGUCACUUAAGUCUUGAUAACUAAAAGUAGAUUACUGUUUCAUGCUUUUCCCAGACAGAAUAUAUGACCAUUUUGGAAGCCAUGACGAGGUCUGCUUAGAACUGAAACAAUGUCAAAUAAAAACUAGCUUAAAAGACACAUAAAUGAUUGUCUUGCACAACACAACACAGGAUUUUUACAUGUAAAAAUGUGAAACUGCAGUUGCAGAUCCACAAACUUUCAUUAUAAGGGAGCU
rnacentral:lncRNA from 1 species